CAGUAGCCACGGUAAUACGAAGGGUGCAAGCGCUACUCGGAAUUACUGGGCGUAAAGCGUGCGUAGGUGGUGGUUUAAGUCCGUUGUGAAAGCCCUGGGCUCAACCUGGGAAUUGCAGUGGAUACUGGGUCACUAGAGUGUGGUAGAGGAUAGUGGAAUUUCCGGUGUAGCAGUGAAAUGCGUAGAGAUCGGAAGGAACAUCUGUGGCGAAGGCGACUAUCUGGGCCAACACUGACACUGAGGCACGAAAGCGUGGGGAGCAAACAGGAUUAGAUACCCCUGUAGUCCCUGUCUCUUAUAC
rnacentral:rRNA from 1 species